UCUCAUCUUUAAAUUUGAAGUUGUUGUUUCUGUUGUUGUUUUCCUGUUUCUUUAAAUUCUGUCUAGGAAAGCAACCCUGCACUUUUUUUUUUUUUUUUGGUUUAAUUGUGUUCAUUUUAUUUUGGCACACCUAGUCCUUGACGGUAAAGAACUUUCUCAUUUAGAAUAAAGGAACAAAAAAAGACUACAAAAUUACAGAGCUAGGAGAGUGGAUAAUUUUGAAGGUGAGAGUUAAAAGAGUGACUUAUAUGUUUUGGCCAUGUAUGGCCUGAGAAUAUAUACUAAUGCCCUUGAGAAGACCUUGGUGGCAGGGAGUGAAGGUAACUGAGGAGGAACUGGGGAUGGGGGAAGGGAGCAGUACCUACUCACAGUUGGAAUUAACCUGGGUAAGGUAUAAAUGUUUAACUUGAGGCUAGUGGGGCUAUAGGAAAAAGGAGAAGCCCUCUAGCAUGAGUCAUGGAAAGUCACAUUUACCCAGUGCAGACAAUUUUGUGUGGACUGGGAUGGAGUUUGGACAGGAUGUCCAAACAAGGUUUCUGCCCUUGUGACUCACGUCUGUGAUUCACUUUUGGUCCCUUACUACCACUACUUGGCUUUGGCUAGCUUUGACAGUGACUCGGAUCAUGUGGAAUGUAGCACGUGUUUCCCAAUUUCUAGAAAGCUUUCAAAAAUACAAUCAGCAGUUAUUUCUUCUUCAGAGUCAGUCGCUGAGAUUCUGAGGAUACUUCCUUCCAUCUUUCACCUCAUUUCCUUCAGUCUCAGGGGUCAGAUGUCUUUUUAAGGCAAAUCUCUCUUGUCUCCUCUGUUCUUAACCUCUCGAUCUACUAGCAACUCCAUAGCCUAUAAACUGGAUAAAGUAUUUUUUUUUUAAAUCAUGCUUUUUACCACCAUCAAAGACCUCCUCGUUAUCAAGUGCAGUGGACCCUUUCACUCUCACCUCCUGUUUGACUUCUCUGUGAUACUGGACACUGCCUUUUCUUCUUUUCUUCCUGGAACAUUUUUCCCUUUUGGCUUCUCCAUGCCAUCACCACCCUCUUUGGAGAUUUCCUUUUUGUUUUUGGGAGACUGUGCACCAUCAUGAUUAAUAGCCUGCAGUUCUAUGGCCUGUCUUCAGGUACUGACUCUGCUACUUGCUUGAUGGUCCCUUGGAUGAUUCUCCAAACCUUUCUAAGGCAAUGUGUAUCUUCACCUAUAAAAUGAGAUGAUCCAUGUGAAGCUCUGAACACUGUGCUUGGCUCAUUGACAUACUGAGCAAAUAUUAGGGGCCCAAUGCAGGGGCUUGAACUCAUGACCCUGAGAUCGAGACCUGAGCUGAGAUCAAGAGUUGGACGCUUAACUGACUGAGCUACCCAGGCACCCCUUAGCUGCCAUUCUGAUUGUAGGGGACCUUCCCUUCUCUGCUUGUUCUCCUUGCCACCCCACUAACAUUGCCUUUUGUGAUAGCCUCCUCACACAGCUCCACUGACCACUUAUGUACUCUGGUAACUGACAAAGCCUGCUUCUCUUCCAGUAUACCUACUGGGGAGAAACGUAAGACCAGUCAUCCUA